rnacentral:rRNA from 1 species
UACGAGGGGGGCAAGCGUUGUUCGGAAUUAUUGGGCGUAAAGAGCUCGUAGGCGGUUUGUUGCGUCGGCUGUGAAAUCCCGAAGCUCAACCUCGGGUCUGCAGUCGAUACGAGCAAACUAGAGUGCGGCAGGGGAGACUGGAAUUCCUGGUGUAGCGGUGAAAUGCGCAGAUAUCAGGAGGAACACCGGUGGCGAAGGCGGGUCUCUGGGCCGAUACUGACGCUGAGGAGCGAAAGCGUGGGGAGCAAACAGG